ensembl:lncRNA
AGCUCCCAGGUGCAUGAAGCAGGGACAUCCAAGAGGAUGAUGGCAGCUCACUUCUUGCUGCAGUUCCUCCUCUUCGGGACUCUACUCGUCCCUGUGUACCUGCAGAUGGAAGGAUGUGAUUUUCUCCAGGAUGCAGUCAAGGGCAAUUUCUCAGUGACUGUGACACCUGAGGAGUAUGUGGCCAACACAACCUACCAGGUUACAAUAAGAGAUGACGGAAACAGCACCACCAUCAGAAAUGUGACCAUGUAUUUACUUCAAGCCUUGUCCUCUGAAAAUACCACUGCAGGAGAAUGGAAUGUAGUAGAAAAACUAAACUGCAGUAAUGUUGCGACAGCAAUGCUAAAUACCACUCAGGAAGAAGCAGCAGCAAACUGGACAUCUCCAAGCAGUAACAUAUCUUCCGUGGAAAUAAGGGCAUAUAUCAUCUAUGAAAACAAUAUCACUGAGUUCAAGACGGCGAUUCUGCAGGAAGAAGAGUGGUCAGGCACUGGAACGGGCUGCCCAGAGAGGUGGUGCAAUCAUCAUCCUUGGAGCUGUUUGAGGAAAGGGCAGUUCCACGAACAGAUCCAACCACAGCCUCGACAACCCCUGACUCCGUCUCCGCAGUCCAGAGCAGCUGCUUCUUCAUCGCCGUCACUCAGCUGCUGAUGCUCCUCACUACAAGCAAACUGCUCUCCUAGGAGAUGGGGAGAGGAGAUGACCCAGCUGUGGUGCUCCUCUCCUCACCCACGGCACAGGUGGGAGGGCAGGCAGCUGAUCUACUCAGGAAAAUCACUCACUUCUUAUGCGUAUCAAGAUGAUAACUGCACUUCUACAUUAGAUUAUAAGGGUCUAUGGCCACAGAGCUGAUCUCCCCUUACUCCCCUCAACCAGGGCCAGCACACACAGCAAGAUUAGCAAGUCAGAGAUCACUCUGGUCAGAACAGCUGGAGAAGGUGAUUUAGGAGCAGACCCCUUCUAACCAGGGGCACCGGAUGGGUUAAUCCUUUCCUCAACACCUGGGGUCCUGUGAAGCACAAAAAGAAAAGCAUGAAAAUGUUCAAGAGAGGGGAAAGGCCCCUCCCCAUCCCAGUACUGGUGUGUGCUGAGGAGCUGAAGGAGAGGUCUGUGAGCCACAGCCAGGGCAGAGCUAUACUGUGUCCUGCAAAGCUCCCUUGGUUUGGUUCUGGCUCUCUGGAAUGGUGGAGUGGGUGGGUUUUUUUCCUCCUUUUUUUGUUUGUUUGGGUUUUUUUUUGUUUUUAAUCAGCAGCAGUUCCUGCUGUGGGAUGAGAUUGGAUGGGCCCCUGAAUGUCUUGAUUUUAUUAUUAUUGUUUGUAUUUUUAUACGGAUGGAGUUUAUGAAGGAAAUUUCAAACUUCUGGAAAGUAAUUACUAUUAUUAUUAUUUUUUUUUUCUGAAGCGAAUCUAAAUAAACCAAAGAAUGAAAGC